rnacentral:rRNA from 1 species
GCUUAACACAUGCAAGUCGAACGGUAACAUAAAGAAGCUUGCUUCUUUGAUGACGAGUGGCGGACGGGUGAGUAAUGCUUGGGAAUCUAGCUUAUGGAGGGGGAUAACUACGGGAAACUGUAGCUAAUACCGCGUAGUAUCGAGAGAUGAAAGUGUGGGACCUUCGGGCCACAUGCCAUAGGAUGAGCCCAAGUGGGAUUAGGUAGUUGGUGAGGUAAAGGCUCACCAAGCCGACGAUCUCUAGCUGGUCUGAGAGGAUGACCAGCCACACUGGGACUGAGACACGGCCCAGACUCCUACGGGAGGCAGCAGUGGGGAAUGUUGCGCAAUGGGGGCAACCCUGACGCAGCCAUGCCGCGUGAAUGAAGAAGGCCUUCGGGUUGUAAAGUUCUUUCGGUAGCGAGGAAGGCAUUUAGUUUAAUAGACUAGGUGAUUGACGUUAACUACAGAAGAAGCACCGGCUAACUCCGUGCCAGCAGCCGCGGUAAUACGGAGGGUGCGAGCGUUGAUCGGAAUAACUGGGCGUAAAGGGCACGCAGGCGGUGACUU